UUUUUUUUUUAAGUUGGUUAACAUUUUAUUUAUAUAUAGUGCCAUAGGAUACCAUAGAUGUGGUGUAUUUUUAAUUUGAGGAACAUCAUUCAAACACACAUAGAUUCAUUUGAAGUACACUUUUUUUUUCCAUAAAUAGUUUUGUAAUCUAUUUGUAGUGCUAUAUGUUUUUAAUUCAUUCAAACAGUAGAUUUCGAACCAUCCGAAUCCUAAUUUAUAAUUUGAAAAUGACCGUUUGCUUCAUUCAGAUUCACCACUUCUCCCAUAAUUAUAAUGUAUCAUAUAUUGGGCCUGUUUAAUACUUCGGUUAUCAUAAUGCAUAUAUAUGUGUAAAUAUUGAUAUAUAUAAAUUUUGUAUUGAUUAAGUGAAAAUAGUUUUCUAUUAGUUAGCCCCAUCAAGUUGAUUGUGCAUGUAAUUAAUAUAUAAAUGGUGAAUUGUAUAUGGCAAGUAUUUUAAAUUUUUAUAAUGGUUUCUCAUACUAUUACCUGAUCUGUUUAUUAUGCUUUUCUUUAAUUAUUAUGUAUUUAUCAUCUCGUACACCUAAAAUAUUUAUCAUUUAUUGUGAUAUGAAAACUAUAAUAAAUGAUAAAAACACUAAAAAGAAAACUAUAUAUGUUUCAUUAUACAAUGAAAUUUGGUUGGCAAGUUUACUAAGGUUAGAAAAGUUAUUUAUUUUAAUACAUUAUUUUCAAAAUAAAAAAUUAAAUCUCUCUUCCUUUAAUAAGAAAGAAGCGAUGAUUUAUUAAUUUUUUUAAGAUUAGUUAUGUCUUGAUUUAAUAUGAAAAAGCAAAGAUUUAUUAAUUUUAUUUUCUAUUUAUAAUUCAUCUUAUUUUUAAUUAAUUUAAGAUCUCUAACACAAGUGCUUCAUAUAAAUAUAUAUUGAUUAGACAUUAGUAGAUAAUCCAACAAUAAUCUAUUAACGGAUAAUAUUACAGGAUCAAAUAAAAAAUAAAUCUUACUAUAAUAAACAUUAGAUAAUUAUUAUAUUAUUUUAAAAAAUAGACUUUAAAUUAAUUAAAAACUAUUAAUCUUAUUUAUAAAAUGAAACUUACCACACUAUUCAUAUGUUGUGUAAAUUUGUUUUAUUUUUAGUCUAAUAAGUAUAUUUGAUGUCAACCAAAAUUAACAUUUAUCAAAGAUAGAAAUUAACAUGCAUAGGAAAUAUCAACAUUUAACUUUUCUGUUUUACCAACAUCAAGUUGCAUAUUGAUUUUCCCAGUUUACGUAGUUUGGAUAUUUAUUCUUCAAUUGUUCCAACCUAAUGUUCAAUUUUCUUUAUAAUAGUAGUUUCUUGGAGAGAUUGGUUGAACCUUUACUUGGUCUGUGUUUCCAUUGUUGAUGUACCGUUGUCACUUCCUUAUGGUUCCCAGAUAAUGUUUUUCUUUUCAAUUGUCUAACCCACAAUUUUAAGCCUAACCAAGGUUUGAUGGCAAAUGAUAUAAUCUCUAAGAUCAUCUUGUAAAGGAACAGUGUAUGUAAUUCCUUAUUACAUGCUUCGAAAUGGGUUAACUUCCAUGGGAGGCAUGUGGUUUUCUUAGUUAACUCCAGUGGGAGGAGAUCCUUGCUGUAUGACCAUGAUCACCUAAGUUAAGAAAUGGUACUUGAAAUCAAUCCUGAAUUUAUAUAUAGACCAAGUUUUUUCUUUUCUAUAAAUAUUUACUUAUAGAAGAUCUAAAAUAGUGUAACUUAAGUCUAGAAUACAGAAAAAUAUUAUAAUAGAUAACUUUGAUAUAUUGGUUGGGAUUAUUUUCCCUCGAUAAAUACGAACCAAAAAUGACUAUAAUUAGGAUCAUGAAAAUAUAUUGUUAAGAAAUAGACUUUAAGUCCUAGUCAAUCCUAUAAAAUCGAUUUUUAAGAUGAAAUUUGUACAUACAUAUAUAUUAUAAAUUGAUAUUAUCUCUAGUUCACAUAGGACUUCUAACACACUCUUCUUAUGCUGGAUAGGUUCUAAUAUGAUUCUGAUAUACUUUAAGUCUAAUUCAAUCUUAUAAAAUCAACUUGUAAAAUAAAAUUUAGGUUUAAACUUAUUUUUGGUCUCUAAGUUAUGAGCGGAUGUUCAGUUUAGUCCCCGCUUUUAAAAAUGUAAACCUUUGGUUCCUAAGUUAUAAAAAAUGUAUCAAAUGAGUCUUUUUUUUAUGUUCAUGGUCAAAGUACAAAGAACAAUCUAAAGUGUUGUUAUUAUUAAAAAACAAAUCAGAGCAAUCUAAAGAUGUAACAGUUGUUAAGAAAACAACCAAAAAUAGUAUUUCAAGUCAAAAAAGGACUCAUUUGAUACAUUUUUUAUAACUUAGGGAUCAAAGCUUUACAUUUUUAAAAACAAAGACUAAACUGAACAUUUUCUUAUAACUUAGAAACAAAAAAAAAUUUAAACCUAAAAUUUAUAUUCAAAUAUAUAUUAUAAAUUAAUCUUAUCUGUAAUCGAGAGAUAACUUUUAAUAUCUUUAUCCAUUAAGUUAGCUAAGGAGAUGGAUUUCCCUUAGCAAGUAGCAUAUUGUAGAUGAGGAUGAGUGGGGCAGGGUAUUGGAGGGUGUCUUUCAAACUGACUUGGCAGAGGGCUCACCUUUGCUUUCAAGUGCUUUUUUCGGAAUGAAUGGGUACGGCUUGAAAGUGAUAUUAAAAAAGAGUGCAAUCUGGAUCCCUGUAAAUUCGAUUGGUUUGGUUUGAAAGGACAACAAAAAAGAUAAUACUAUUAAGAAGGGAGGCUACACAUCAUGACUGAAGCUUUUGUCCUUUUGCAAUGUAAUGUAUGCGUGAUGAUGUAUCUUGUUCCUGGCGUUAACUAUGAGAGUAUAAGAGUGUGUGUAAUGCUACCAAUGUAUCCACUGAGUUUAGUGAAAACUUCCUAAAAAUUUGGGAGCUUUGUUGAAAUUGGAAUGGCCAAAUUCUAAGACGGAAGGUAUGUUGCAGUGAGCUAAAUAUACUAUUAUGAUUAUUCUAUCAUUAUAUCUCCUUCUCAACCACUUUUCUUUGUUUCCUUCUUUUACAAUAGAAAUCCAUUUAGGUCUUCUUCCCUCAAAAUUAUGAUAAAAUAAUAUAUAUCAUUAUGUUUUUCUUUUUGUGUCUGUUGUAAUGUUCCUUUUGCUUCAUUAUUCUUACUAUUUAUUUAUUUUUACUAGAAUCUUUUUCUUUUAAAUUUAGUUAAAACUGAAUAGUGAAAAUUUCAUUUAAUAUAUAAUCAAAUACUUAUUUUGAUCAGUUUAUUAGUUAGAUCUUCAUUGUUCUUCUUUAUAAGUAAGUAAUAAAAUCAUGUUUCAUUAUUAUUCAUAUUUUUAUAUACUUGUUUUCUUUGUUUUUAACUUUCAUUUUUCUUUGUACGUAUUUUCUUUUUCUACUUUGACGGAAAGCAAAAUUAUAAAGAAAAGAAGGUCAAAUGUUGGCUGGCCAUCCUCCGCCCUAUUGUUGCUAUGUCUUAUACGGAUCAAGAUUCUCUAUAAUUGUUUUACUAUACAUUCACCCACUUAAUAAUUUAGAAUCAUUAUUACCAGGAAAUUGAACAAAUCAUAUAUUUUAUUUCAAUAAAUUCAACUUUUAUGUAUUCGUGUUCAUUUAAUAGUUACAGAUAAAUUAAAUUAAAUUAAAUGUGUCAAUAUGUAAUCAAAUACAGCAGGUUAUCUAUACUCUUUUAUUCAUUACUCAUUAUAUAUAUAGGUGUUGUAGUAGAUUCUUUUUUUCUUUUAAUUUUAAAGAAAUCGAAGUUAUAAGGUAAAAAUUAUAUUUAGUAUAAAUGUUUUAGAAAUAUUUUAUAAAAAAAUAAUUCUUAUAAUAAAAGUUAAAUAUAUUUAGUUCUUGAAUAUAAAAUUAAAAUUGAUUCAUAUAUUAUAAAUUUUGAUACAUUUUUAUCAUUAAAUUUUAAAAGUAAAUAUAUUUAAGCUAAUGACAUUAGUUUUGUUAAGAUUAAACAGUAAUUCAAGUUAAUAAUUAAGUUAUAACGUGCUAUAAACAACUCAAAUUUCAUCUUAAACUCAAAUUUCAUUUAAAAAUGUGUUAUUUCAUUAAAAAAAAUGUGUUAUUUCAUCUUAUAAAAUGUGUAUAAUACGAAUCUAGAUUUAAGAACUAAAAUCAUAAUUUACUCUAUUUCGAAAUAAAUUUUACAAAGAAUAAAACAAGAGUAUAAAUAUUUCGUAUGUAUAAAUAGAUUUUCCGUUCUCAAAUAUUCAAGAUAUUACCUAUAUUUUGACAUUCUUUUACAAAACAUUUAUAACAUUUUAGAAAAGAAAAAACAAGAUCUCUGAGUAUGAAGAUAUAUAUUAGACUAAUCCCUUAAAUUUAGUAAAGAUUAUAUAAUGAUUAUCUUCUGAAUGUAUCUCCCUUAAUCAAAGAUGAGAUUUAGAUGUUGAAAAGUUAUUUGUGAAUAUUAUAUAUACCGAUUAUGAAGAAAUACAUUUAAUAAUACACUGUUUAAAGACGAAUAAAACUUAAACAAAUAAAAUGUGAUAAAAAUAAAGUUUUUUUUUAAAUAAUUUCAUUUUAUUUAGAAGCUUAAACUUGCAGUUACUCAAAAUACUUAUUUUUAUUUUUCUGAUUUUUUAAGUAAUAUAGUAUAUUCUACUUAAAACAUAAAGCAAAAAAGUCUUACAAAAUUGAAAAUUCUAUAGUUUAUGCAUACAGUGUACUUUCAGCAGGAAUAGUACAACAGCGCAUAAGUAAGACAGGAAAGGGUAUAAUCUAUAUUAUCACCCACCCAUACUUGACAAUUUUCCGAUUUCACCCUUGACCCAUUGGGUUUUUACAUGACAGUGCAGGCAUUUGGGUUCUCAUCGCUGAAUAUCUGGGGAGGGUAGGCAUGGAAAUACGCAGGGUAUGCAGGGUAUACAGGGUGUGCAGGAUAUGCAUACACCUCCAUGCCAUAGCUUGGUGGGUUAUGGAAGUAUUCAUUAAUCUUCACCUCUGGAACAACGUUGUCUGCUUCCUCUGCCUUGGUCUCACCCUUUGCUUCUUCUUCUUCUUCCUCUUUCUUUUCCUUGUUUUCUUCUCCUUCACCAGUCUUCUCUUUUUCAACCUCCUCCACCUUUUUCUCCACCUCCUCCACCUUCUCCUCUUUCUUCUCCUCUUUCUUUUCUGCCUCCAGCUUCACGAUCACUGCGUGCUUCCCAGUUCUCUUGUACACGUACUCAACCAACUUCUCUGGAUCGUACACGCCCUUCACACUCACCACUGAGUUCUUCAGAUCGGGAUCAGCUGAUUCCACUCCUGCACAAUUUUAAUAGUAACAGCAAACAAAGUUACACCAAAGCUACUCAAAUUAAAUGAUGGGCUCGGUAUUCGCUAAUUGCAAUAAACAUUAAAUCGGAUUAUAAAGGCACAGAAUUUUACCACAACUGCAUCACUUCAACCUAAAUCUGACGACUUUAAUAUUUUAAUUAAUUCGAUUUAAAGUUCCGGGAUAGUGGAAUUAAUGAAACGGAAUAAUGAAACAAUAAUAGCAAUGAUCCCUUUCACAUGGGUGAUUCAGAUUCAAACAGUCAAAGUAGUUUUCUGCUAAAUCCAAUAGACCUCGUGCUGAUGGGUGAUGAUGGGUUUAAGCUUAGGAAAAAUUAAAUCAGACAUACCCUUCAUUCUCUGUAUGCGUUUCUUGAUUUCCAGUGAGCAAGCCUCGCAAUGCAUGUGAAUUUUCAGAAGCGUCACAAUCGGUGGCUGCGCCGAAGGAAAAGAUAAACAGUGGUAUAAUUUGUUAGAAUCCCAUAUCGCAAGCAUAAUGUAUAAACGAUCGUUUAUCCGGAAGAAUUAUAGGGUAAAACUGGUAGACAGUGCAGAAAGAAGCAAACCUCUUGUACUUUCUCUUGGACCUUGGGCUUUGGUUUUUCUUCUUCCGGGACCUUCUUCUCCUCUGGAGGUUUCGGGAUCGGAGAGAGAAGCUCCACCUUUCUGUGACUCUUCCUCUGUAUUCUCUCCAAAACCUUUAGAGGAUCCGCUUUCUCUCCCUUGAUAACCACGUUGUGAGAUUUGCAGUCGGUGAGCACUUCUUCGACACCUAAACUCAAACACACACGAGUGGGUUCAGAUAUGAUGCCACGAAUCAAAAGGGGAUGUUGUGUGAAAAAAGUGGGACCCACCUGGGAAUCCUUUGAGGGAGCGACGAACCUUGCGAGCGCAACCCUCGCAAUGCAUGAACACUUUGAGCACAAUCUCGGCCGGUGGCGGUGGCGGUGGCGGUGGAGGAGUCACUUGUUCCUUCUCCACCACUUCUGGUUUUUUCUCUCCCGCUGUUUCUUCCUUCUUCUUCUCCUCUUGUUUUUUUUCUGGUUCUUCUGGCUUUUUUUCCUCCGCCUUGGGUUCCUCUGGUUUCUUUUCCUCCUAAAACACAAAAGAAGCAGAAAAUCAGAACAGCAAGAAAAAUAAUAAUAGAGGUUAGUUUCCAUGUGUGUAAAACACAACAGAGUGAAUAGAAAAAGAAAGGUAGAGAAGGAUUACUAAGACCUCCCCCAUUGGUGUUACUGUCACAGUCAGUGGGCUGAAACUACUGGAAGAGGGUGGUGUCUGCCGCUGGGAUAAGCUUAGGGGAGGUGCUACUUUUUGCUGCUAAGCCUGUUAUUUCCCCCUUUCUUUUCUGUACUACCACAUCUAUACUUCUUAUAUAUAACAUACAUUAUACUGUAUUUUCUCUCUCUCUAUAUAUAUAUAUUUUAUUAUUUAAUUUCUUAAACGCCCAUUUUAAUUAUUUAUGACAAUCAUUUAUUAAGAUUGAAAGUUUUCACAUUACUCAUUACAACUGUAUUUUAUAAUGUUUUAAUUAUAACUUUAAUAUAUGACCAAAAACAAUUAAUUAGAGUAUUAAAAAUAUUUAUUGCAUUUAAUUUAAUAUUGUUUUAAUUAAUAAUUAAAGGAAAAUAACCUCUUAAUUAAGAAUUCGCUUCAAUUUUAUUUUCAAAAAUAACAGUAAUUACCGAAAUAAAUUUUUAUAAUUACUAGAAAAUGAUGAAACAAAUAGAUGAGAUGGCUGUACAAAUCUAUUAAAAGUAAUUAUUGCUAAUAAUUAAAAUGUUAAUUAGAGAAUCAUUAUUUGUAAAAAAAAAAAAAAAACUUAAAAUGCCGGAUCGGUUGUAAUGGAUAUGUACAGUAGGUAUAAGUACAAAUUUUGCAUGUCAAACAAUAAUAAGAACAUAAUGGUAUAUAAUAAGAAGAGAAUGGUACUAUGAUACAAAUUUUGCAUUUCAAACUAUAAACUAUAAUAAGAAAUGGUUAAAUUUGUAGCUGAUCGGUUUGACUAUUAUUUUAUUAAAAUUUAAUUAUAAUUUUAUAAAAAAAGUGUUUAUUAUUUUUUUUUGUUUGAAAAAAUUAUUUAAUUUUUUUAUUUUUAAAACUAAUUAAAUAUUCUAGAGUGAAGUUUAGGAAUGAAAUUUGUUUAGAUUUGAAUUAUAAAACGUUUAUAAUAUUUUUCAUUUAAAAAAAUUGUAAUUAAGUGAGUUAGUGAGUCAACUCCUUUAUCCAUCAAUCCAUAGUGGAUCGAACUGUAUUCGAAUUCUUCUUAUUCGUAUAAAUGAGUCGGGUGUUGCUCCCUUGAGCUCCCCAAGUGCUCCUCCACCUCCACCUCCGCACUAUUUUCAUUUAUUUCAAAAAUAUUCUACAUCUCUCCACUAUUUUCUUUUAUUCCAAAAAUAUUCUACACCUCCCCACUAUCAUCAACAAUCUUUCCCUUUCUCUCUUUACAUCAAUGAAGAGUAUUCACAUGGCUCAAAUUUGAAUUUGUGAUAUAUUACAACAUAUAAAAUUCAAAGAAAACUUCAAUAUUAGUACUUCUACCAUUUCCAUUUUAUAAAAUUGAAAGUUAGAUGCAAAUACAAAAUAAUAAACAUAAUAAUAUUAAUAGUAAAUAAUGAUAUAUUAUUAUUAUUAUAUACUAACUUUAUAAUGAUAAAAGAACUAAAUAAAUUCUAAAUCUUUAACAAAUAACCUUUUUUUAUAUUUUAAGUAUUUAAUAAUAUUUUUAUAUUAUUUAUCUAAUAAAUUAAAUAUUUUAUUCAAGUUAUUUGAGCAAAACAUGUCGGGAAGUUAAAACAUAAUAUAAUGUUAAAAAUUAUAGAUAUUACAUGUAAAAAAAACACACACAUAUAAAAAAUUUUCUAGAAAUUUAGAACAAAAUUUUACCAUUUAUUAAGUAAUUUGAACAGAAAAAAAUAUAUUCAACAUAAAAAAUAAGAUUCAAUCAAACUUAUUUAAGAAAAUAUACCACAAGUUCAAAUUUGAGUCAUGUAAAUGCUCCAUUAAUGAGCCAUGUAAAUGUUCCAUUAAUGUAAAAAGAGAGAAAGAUGUUAAGUUAAGGAUAGUGCGGAGGUGUGAGUAUUUUUUGAAUAAAAGAAAAUAGUGGAAAGAUGUAAAACAUUUUUGAAAUAAAUUAAAAUAGUGGGGAGAUGCAGGACCACUUGGGAAGGUGGAAGGAACAACACCCAAAUGAGUCGGAUUGAAUUGGUUCAAUAAAUGAUCAAUCCGUGAUGGAACGAACUACAUUAAGCCGAAUAACUCUUUUUGUCUAAUAAAAUUAAAAUAAUGUUAAGAAAAUAAAUUUUUAUAAUUUUUUAAAAAAUAAAAAAGUAAAAAAUAAAAAAAAAAUUAUCAAAUAAAUAUAAAAAUAUUAUUUGUCAAAGAAUAUUUUUCUAACAAGAAUACGAGGGAGAUAAUUGGAGGAUUAUUUUGAAUUCGGGUACCAAAAUCAAACCCAAACCAAAACGAAAAAACGAAACCACAUCCACAACCAUAUCUCCGCAUGUACACGUAAGGUACGUAUUAUUUAAAUGGGAUUUGAUUUCUUUGAAAGGAGGGAAUCUUACUUUACAUUACAGAGAAAGUGAUAAACAUAUAGUUCUAUGUGGGGUAUAUCAAUUUACAUUUUCACAUGUAAAUUAAACGAAUGUAGAAAUUUAAUAUUUUUAUUAAAUUAGAAUAAUUGUUAGUUAAAUUUAUGUCCGAAUUAAUAUGAAUUAAUAUGUUAAUUGUAACAUUAACAUUACAUAAUUAUUAAAAAGGUUUUUAAACUUUCUUAAUCAACACCAAUCCUGAGAUAGUAUGAAAAUUAAUUAAUAUAUUUGUAUGUGGAUAAAUAUAGUUGAAAUUAUUUGUUAAAGAAUUCAUUUUUCUUUACUAUGAGACACACGGCAUUCUAAAGUUCUUUGAGUUAAAAAAUGUAUCUCGAUUCCAACCUAUAAUAAAAAAUUAUAUUUCCUUCUUAAACUAAAUUAUAAGACACUUUGUUUAUAUAUUUUAUGAUCGAUAUCUAAAACAUCAUUCCAAUAAAUGACGUAUUGAGGUUACACUAUAGUUGGGACUUCUUUUGUUACAUUUGUUAAUGAAAAACACUUUACUUUAUGUUUGUUAAAAAAGAUGCUUUUACACUACUUUCAUAAAAUAUAAAUGACUAAAUAUUUUAUAGUUUAAUUUAUAAAUAAAACACAAUUUUUUUUAUAGUAACUACAACAUUUGGUUAAACCGAUGCAAUCUUUUGAUUAAAUUAGUAUAAUUAUAUAUUAUAGUUUGAAUAGAUAGUGUAUGCAAGUUUAAUAGUGUAUAUAAUACAAUUAAGAAAUUAUCAAAAUAAAAUAGAAUUACGGAGUAGCACGUUAUAAUCACUUGAUUAGUGUUAGAUUUACGUUAGAUUGGAUUUAGUUAAAGAAACUAAUUGAAAGUAUUGAUAAAAACUAAUAUUAAAACUUUUAGUUAACAAGAGUUAGAUCUACACACAUAACGUUUAUUUUUCUAAUCAAAAUCAUUUCCAAUGUUCUGUUUCAAUCACACUCAAAGUUGUUGAAAAGUAAACACAAUUUUUCAUAAUAUCAUAAAUCAAGAUUCAAUUUCUCAUUAAAUGGCCUUCAAUUUAACGUAUAAUAAUGCUUUCAACAAAAAAAUAUAUAUUUAUUUUCGAUGUAGAAUAUGCAUAAAUAACUAAAAUAUAAAAACCUUUUAAACUCUAUUUAAAUUGAGAGAAAAAUUAGACCUCAGCUAUUUAAAAAGUAUUUUUUGUAUUUAUAACUGUAAGUUUGCUACAUGGUCAGUUUUAAGUAAACUUUCUUCUUUAUAAGACGUUUUCAUGUUUAAUGAUUAUAAAUUACGAAUAUAAAAUAAUUUAUCUGAUUAAUUAAUAAAAAGUAGUAUUGUUUUGGUUUGAAAUUUGUUGAGUGACAUUGUUAAGGUGAAUCAUCAUGUAUAUGAAGUAUUGUUCACUUUGGAACGUAAAACUCCAUCAUAGUAUUGUCCUUAAAAGACGUAUCAAAGGAUGGAAGGAGAAAGGAGGAAGGAGUAUGUAAAAUGCUUUUGAUCUCGACUCCUAAGUGAAAUACACAAGAAAACACUAGAGGGGGAGUGAAUAAUGUUUUCAAAAUAUUUGUGCAGAACAACUGAUAACCAUAUGAAUCAUGUGAUUGUUGUGGAUACUAAUCAUAAUUCAUUUGAAAAUCACACUGUUGAUUAUUUUCAUUUUUUUAAAGAGGUAAUUUGUGUUGGAAAACAGGUAGACUUUGUUUCAACACCAAUAGGGGAAUGAAUUGGUGAGGUUUCAAAAUAAGAGUCUUUUUAAAAAAAAUUUCACAAAGUAUAAACCUUUACAAAGUUUCUUGAAUCACAAGGAAUGAAAAUUUCAGUUGCAACGGAAAACACUAAUUGACUACAAAAACAAUAAAGUCGACUGAAUGUAAAAGAGUAGGGAUAAAAAAUUCAAACACAGAAUUUUAUACUGGUUCAGCCUCAAUGUCUACAUCUAGUGUCCUUCCACAAUCCGGAAGCAAAUGAACUACAAUGGUCAAGGUUUUGAAUCAAGACUUUUAUAGAGACCUCUACGUCAAAAAUAUAAAACACCUCUCUAACCCUCUAACCAAAAUAUAGGCAAUACACACAACAAAGUGUUAGCAAAAUGAUGAAGAUGAAGUUUUGAUUAUGUCCAAAUCAAGUCAAGAGAAAUGAAGAUUCAAGAAGAUCCUUUGAAGACUUGUUUUGCAAUGGAAAGCUUUUGUAAUAAUUGUAGCUUAUUGUUUAGGACUUAGAUUUUCAUUGGUUUUGAUUCCAUAUACUUUCAUACAUUGUAAUUAGUUAAGAGUAAAAAUCGCAUUGUUUUAAUCGAUUAAAACUAGUAUUAAUCGAUUAAAACGAGUAAAAGCUGAAAACUCAACUUUUGUUGUUUUGAUAGAUUAAAAUUCAUUUUAAUUUAUUAGCUAAUCGAUUAAAAUUCAUUUUAAUCUAUUAGUUAAUCGAUUAAAAUUCAUUUUAAUCGAUUAAAAGUGACUGUUGGAGUUUUCUACUUUUGAAAACUAGUCCGUUGUACUCAUUUUAAUCGAUUAACACUUGUAUUAAUCGAUUAAAAGCGUUAAAUGGCCAGUUUCGAAGAAUGGAAGAGUAUUUGGUUGAGUUUAUAAAUAGGCUCUCUUUAUCAAUCAACAACAACUCUUCCCUUGUGCUCAAAUACUCAAAAGUCAUUGAGAAUUGUGUGCUCUUGCUCAACUAAGGAAACUCUUGUCUGUGGUGCUGGUGUAUUGCUACUACGGUGACGGAGGAAUAGCUGGUUCAUCCUUGGUGCGUCUGAGGAGGUGUGUGGAAAAGGAUCAUCCUUCGUGGAGUAUUCGGAUGAGGUGUUUCAUCCUUUGUGAAGACUCAGAGGAGGUGUAGGUUCAUCUCUUGUGGUAUUAAGAGAGGUGGUUUCUAAACUUUUACAAAUUGUUUCUUUGUGAAUGUAGUUUGUAAUUGUUUUGUGCUUAGUGGAAAGUUUAUCUUGGUUUGGGAUAAUCGACUAGACGUAGGAUUGGUAAGAUCCGAACCAGUAUAAAAUUCAUCUGUGCAAAUUUCUCUCAACCUUACUCUUGUUAUUUAUUAUUAUUAUUAUUAUUAUUAUUUGCGUAGUAAGUUUAAUUGAGUAGAAAUUAAAAGGUACACGUUUGUAUUAAAACCCCUCUUGGUUUGUUAUUUCACGCUAACCAUUCUGUUGCAGCCGCUCUGACACAAAGAUCUGCAACAAGAUAUCCCCGCUUAUGCAAUCUUCAACCCACUUUGAACAAUCCUCAAAGUGUCCAGACUCCACAAGUCAACCCCCUGUAAUCACAACAAGAAAAACAACAACAAUCUUUACAGAAAUUGAUAGAAAUCUUGAUCAGUAGAUGAGCACCGCAAUGUGCAGAGUAUGAUCAGUCAUGAAGCACAAAAAUCUUUCUCCUUCAAAGAACCUCUUCAAAGAUAGAUCAUCACGGUCUUCUUGAUGAGUUCUUGGAGCAAAUUCUCAAAGAUCACGAUUUGUAAAUCACAAAUGAAAGUGUUAGAUUUUCCAAAGUCUCUGUGAUCAACUAAGGCACGUCUAUUUAUAGUUUUCUAUAAAUCAGAUGCUCUUUUAGUCAACUAAGCUACUAAUACAGUCGUUGUCCUUAGACAGUUAUAACAGAUAAGUCAAACAGUAGCAGUCAACAACAGACAAAUUGAUUUUGCAUUUAAGACAGUUGACUAUCAUCAAUGCAAUAACUAACUUUUGAAAUAUAGUCGUUACAGUUCACAGUCAUAACAUAAUUUCAAACAAAUCAACUAACUAAGUCGGAUCCACUGUGCAUGUAGUCGACUUAGGCAUGUCAGCUUAGUUUGAAAAACUUUUCAAUGCAAAAUCACUCAUAGCACCAUUUUUGAAAGUCUGUGCAUAGUCACGAGUUUUAAUCAACUUGCUUAAUAAUGAAGUCGACUUAAAACUUGCAAUCAUGUCACACAAUGUAAGUUCAUAAAAGUGCAUGUGGUUUUCUUCUUCAAAAACAUAUGUAAUGCAACCAUAAAUGAUGUAACAGAUAUAAGCUCAGAUAAUGUGCAUUCACAUAUCAAAAUCAACACAAAACAUGUUCAAUAGAAUAUACCAUUCAAUACGAACAGAACAUGUAACACAUUACAAUACAAGUGUUAUUAAUAAUGUGUUGUCAUCAUAAAAAACAAAGUGAUUAAAGCACUGUGAGAUUAAGGUUAGCUAAACCAAUGCUUCCCUUAUCAACAAUCUCAACAAUUUGAAAAGAAAUAUGUUGAGAGUUUCUUGAGUAGACUUUUAGGAAAGAGAGGUGUGUCUCAAUGAACAACUUAAGUACAUUCUCGUUCCUUAGUAAAAGUAUUCGCCAACUAGUUUACAAAUUUCCCAACAAAAAUUCCUCAAACAAAAAUUAUGAAAAAAAAUUACUAAAUUAAAAUUACUAAAGGAAAUAAAAUAAAAUAAACAAUAAAAAAAUAGAGAAAAAGGAUAUGUUAGUCAUAAACAAAAAUAAAACUAAAAAAACUAUAAAAUAAAAACAAAAAUGACAAUGGCGCCAAAUUUGAAAACGUUAUUGUUGAUGCGAUCAAAUUAAUAUUACUAAACUAUAGCAAUUUCAGUAUUGCUAAGAUAGUAGCCAACAAAAUAGAAAUGUUAAAUUUAACCCUAAGUCGUCUUCCAACAAAUACAAAAUUGAUUAUUAACAAAUUAGUUCUUAUAAAAACUAUACAAAAGGUUUAGUAAAACAAAAACAAUAAAAAAGAUAAAGAUCAAUAAAAUAUUAAAAGACAAAAUAACAAAAGAUAGUAAGAAAUAAAUUUAUAAAAAGAUUUAAAAAGAUAAAAACAAAUAUAAAGAAAAUAGGUUGAUUUCACUACUUUUUCAAAAUAUGAUUUAUCAUUGGCUAUCUAAAGAUCAUUGUUCAGGUAAUUAUUGUCUUAGAUUUUAAAAUUAAUCAAUAUAAAUUCUCAAUUCAUUUCUUGACAUUUUCACUAUUAACCAAAGUACAUUCUUAAUUAAAAGUAAGAAAAUUAUAGAUUAAUCAUAGUAAAUUUAACCAAAAUACAUUCUCAAUUUGUUAUACAAUAUUAGAAUGAUCAAAAGUUACAGAAUUACAAAUUGCGCGUCAAUUUAUAGUUACUGUCAUAAUAUACGCAAAAUAAUCGAUUAGGUUAGUAGUGUAAUCGGUUACAUAAAACUAUUGUAAUAGUAUUACAACUAACUCAACUCAUUAAUUGAAUGAUCAAUUAAUAUAAUCGAUUAGCAUUAAAUGUUAGUCAAACACAUUUAAAAUUAUGUCUAUUAAAGGAGUUAUGACUAACAUCCAAUCAGUUUUCAAACAUAGCAAACUUAAUUGAAUGCACAAAAAGGUAAUCGAUUAAGUUUAUCACUUAAGCAAAUUUUGAAAAAUUUUCUUCUUAAAAACUCAUCAUAACACAUUUGAAAGAUAUAUGCAAACACAUGAGUUUUAAUCGAUUCACUAACUAAUGUAAUCGAUUCAGAACUAGUUAUUUUGCCACAAUUCAAAAACUAAGUUGUCUGAUGACCUUAAUUGAUCAUCAAAACACUGCAAUCGAUUAAGUCAUGCAGAUAUGCUUUUGUGCAUAUGGUUUUCAUAUCACGGAAACAUACAUUGUGCAUACACAAAUAUAGUCUCAUCAUAAUCACAUAAGUAUGCAUCAAUCAACUUAGUAUGUCCAACAAAUGUGACAAUCAUAGUAUGUGCAUAUUACACAGUAAGCAUGUAUAACACAAUACAUAAACAAUUUUGUUGUGACAUAACAACAUUCAUGUGUUGUUACUAUUAAUGUGUUGUCAUCAUAAAAAACAACAUACAGGGAUUGGGUUCAGCUAACACAGUGUUCCCCCUAUCAACACAAUUAAAUAUUAUUAUGCCUAAUCAUGUCUAUUCUUUUACCUCUUAUAUUAAGUAAAAAGCUAAUUAACCAAAGUACAUUCAUGAUUAGUUCUUGUUCAAGUUUUCACCUUUAUUCAAAGUACAUUCUUAAUUAUUGGCAAAAAAACCCAUUCAAUCACAUGAAUGUUUCUAACUUUAAUCAAAGUAAAUUCUCAAUUAAAAAUAAAAACCUUUGGACUUAUAUGAUUGAUAUGUUAUGUAGAUUUAACAUCAUGCUAAAUUGAUAUAAUGUAAAUAUCAUGACUUUUACUUGAUUAAGAAGCAAAAGAUAUAGAUAAAAAUAAAUCACAAAAAAAAUAAAAAAGAACAAACAAAUUUGUUCAUCUAACCUCAAAAUCCAAUUCAGAAAUUACAGCAAAAUCAACCUGAGAGGCUUAACACUCCAUGGAAUGUUGAAAUAACAUGAAAAUAGAAGAAGAAAUGGUGUAGAGCAUAAGAAAAGAGAGGGUGGACGAAAUUUGAAACCCCCAAAGGGUUCCUAAGCAGUUUCUUUAUAUAGAAAUUGGAUUGAGCUUUGUUUCUGUUGUUGUAGUCUUCUUUAUGAUAAUGUAAUCUCCUCUAUUUAUCUUCUAAAUAAUUCAAUAUCUUCAAAAUAUAUUUGAUCGUUGUGGAGAACUAAAAAUAUUUGAGAAGAUAUAUGCUAGAUUAAAAAAGAUUUGAUAAAUAUUAUCUUUCAAUAUUUAUUGAUAUAGUUAAAUAAGAUAAUUAUUUAACAAUAUCAAAUAAAAAAUCUUAAGACAUAUUUUCUCCAAAUUAUCAAUUGUCAAAGUCCUUUUAGUAGAAAAAAUAGAGAAAACCGCAAGAUCCAAAUUUUGUUGCUUGUUCCCUCUUUUUGACCUAGCUAAAUUUCUUCAUUUUUUUCAUGCUAUAUUGGAUUGACUUCUUAUGGUUUUGAUUAUUUUUCAUUCUUGGAUUUAUCUUUAAGGUUUCAUGAAACUUUAAUCAAUUUUCUUUUACACCUCAAUGAGCUCAACUUAACUACAGUUGCACUAACACAUCAAAAUAUCCAAAGAACAUUUAUGCAAAUAAAAAACUAUUUUUAACAUGUUUUGGUAUCUCAUGCUAAAUGAGGACAUAAAUAUGCACUCAUAAAUAUGCUAAAGGCUAAAUGAGAACAUAAAUAUGCACUCAUAAAUAACUUCUAAUAACGUGUAACAAGAGUGUAUAAAAGUGUACUUAAUUACAAUUAUUUUAAAUAAAAAAAUUACAAACUUUCUAUAAUUCAAAUCUAAACAAAUUAACUCCCAACAUGGGGUGUUUAAUUAGUUUUAAAAAUAGGGAGUUAAAUAAUUUUUUCAAGCAAAAAAAAAUAAUAAAUAUUUUUUUAUAAAAUUUAAUUUAAAUUUUAAUAAAAUAAAAUUAGGUAGGUGGGUUGGUGGGCCAACCCGGCCAAUCACGGAUUCAACCCAAAUGAACUGGGUUUGAAUGAGUCAGGUUGAAAUCUAACCCACAUAAAAAAAAUUAAAAUUUUUUCAAACACAACCCUAUCCAAACUCGUGGUAGGUCAGGUUGACCCGCAAAUUGUGACCUAUUUUGACAGCAUUAAUUUAAACGUUGUUUUUAACAUAAGUAAAUACUAAUAUAUUUAGACAAUGACAUUUCAAAAGACUUUGUAAAGGCUUUAAGGAAAAAAACAAUAUAGGUUGCCAUUCUCUACCGUUUAGGGUUUAUAUGAAAGCCUAAGUCCCUAAAUUAAUUUGUAUUAUAAUAAUUCCUAAAAUUAAAUACAAUUGAAUAUACAUCCUCUACAAUUGACAAUUGGCGUGUGCUAUAUUGUAAAAUUUUGAUAAAAUUAUCAUAUUUAUAAAGGUAAUUCAUUCUUAUAUUAUUUUUAUGAUUUUUGGAAUAUUCUUUAAUUUAUUUUAUCUUCUUCAAAUCGAAAGUAUUAUUUUAUGAUGACAUGAUGACAAUAAAAAUUAUAAAAAUAUUCAAUGUAACUGUAAUUUAAAUUCAAAACUUAAAAUGUUAACUUUUUAAAAUAAAAUAAAAAUUAAAUUUAAAUAAUACUAAAUGUAUAAACUAGAAUGGUUUUUUUAAAUAAAAAACCAUAUAAAAUCUUUAAAGAUAUAAAUAAAAAGAUGUGUAAAAUCUAAAAUGACGUAAUAAUAUAUUUUUAUCUUGAAAUUUUUCAUUUUUAAAAUAAAGUUUGUUGAAAUAUAUUAUUUUUUAUCAUUUUAUAUUUACUAACUAAUUUAUGGAUAAUUUUAUCAAACACUUUAAUUCGGAUAAUUUAAUUAUCAACUCAAAUAAUUCAUAAGCUCACCAAUCAUUUGUCAUGAAAAUUUAUUAAUAUGAUAAAAAUUUAUUAAAUAAAAAUAAAAUAAAAGAAUACAAUGCACACACGAAGAAUUAUAUCAAACUCAUAAUAAAAUUAUACUUUAUAAAAUAUAAAUAAAAAUACCUAUUAUAAAAAAAUCUAAAUAAAUAUAUGAAAAUAAAACAUUAAACUAUUUAUAUAUUAUUUUUUAUAAAUAAAGCUAAAUUAGCUAAUUUAUUUAUCAAUCGAAUUAUUUCCUUUAGAAAAAAGUAAAAAAAUUUGAACUGCAUAUACAUUAAAAAAAUAUAAACAUUAGCAUCAUGUCAAGGGACCGUUCAUUCUUAUAAAUUAAGUCAUUAUUAAUUAUGCUACCGUUCAUUCUUAUAAAUUAAGUCAUUAUUAAUUAUGCUACCAGUUAUCUUAUUAAUUGUCAUCUAUCUUCUAAAGUUAAUGCCACAUAACAAAUACGUUAGAAAGUUAGACCAAAGCCGAGGACAAUGUCAUUACAUUUAUUAAUAGCUUGGUUAUUGAAAUUAUUAACUAUCAAUGCAAAUUAUUAAUUAGAAGUUAAACAUCUUUUUGGUCCCUAAGUUAUAAGCUGGUGUUCAGUUUAGUCUUCGGUUUUAAAAAUGUCAACCUUUAAUCCCUAAGUUAUAAAAAAUGUUUCAAAUCAGUUUCUGCUGUUAAAUAUCCACUAACGGAGUUAACUUUUUCUUUCUCUCUCUUCUGCUCUUCUGAAAUUCUCUUAACAUUGACAUGUUUUUCUUUCUCUCUCUGAAUUUCUCUAUUUCUCCUUUUUAUGUUUAAAUAUAUAUUUUUCUCUCUCCUCACUCAAAAAUCACCUCCACCAAACCCUCCUCCAACACCACCACCUGCUCCUCCUCACGGAGCCUCAUCAACCAUUCUAGCCACAUCGUCGACCAAGCCUCUCUUUCAAAAAUCCAUCACGCGUGACCAGAAAUUAGGUCUUCCCAUCUCCAUUCACACUCUCUCCGCCGAUGUACCACAAUCAGACAUCUUUGUCGGUCCCUUCCUGGACACCUCUGCCCUCCUCAAACCACUGCGCCAGCUCCUCCUCCAACGCUGCCCGCAUUGCAUCGUCGUCAACAUGUUCCAUCGCUGGGCCGACGACGUCGUUUACGAGCUCGGAAUCCCCAUAAUCCUCUUCAACGGCAUCGGGUGCUUCGCUAUCUGCGUCCAGGAGAACUUCAGACAUGUCGUUUUUGAGAGUGUGAGUUCAAACUCGGAGCCUUUCCUCGUUCCUAAUAUUCCCGACAGGUUGCAAAAGGCUACUGCCAGGAAGAGGGAAUCGACUAUGAUGAAACCUAUCCACCUGUGGCCAGAUUAGAGGCUAUAAGAAUUCUCCUUGCCAUUUCCUCAGUAAUGAAAUUCAAGCUGUAUCAGAUGGAUAUCAAAAGUGCCUUCUUAAACAGAUACAUCAAGGAAGAAGUGUAUGUAGAACAACCACUUGGGUUUGAAGAUUUUGAACAUCCUGACCAUGUUUUCAAACUAAGAAAAGCUCUAUAUGGAUUGAAGCAAGCGACUAGAUCAUGGUAUGAACGCUUAAGUGAAUUUUUCAUAAAGAAAGGAUUCUCAAGGGGAAAAGUCGAUUCAACUCUAUUUAUCGAGAGCUUAAAGAAAGAUAAACUCUAUGUUUAGAUUUAUGUUGAUGACAUUAUUUUUGGUUCAACUAAUUCUGCAUUAUGCAAAGAAUUCUCUAAGACUAUGCAGGAUGAGUUUGAGAUGUCCAUGAUGGGUGAAUGAGCAUACUUCCUUGGUCUUCAAGUAAAACAAGCUAGAGAUGGAAUAUUUAUUCAUCAAUCUAAGUACUGCACUGGCUUGCUGAAGAAAUUCAAAAUGUUGGACUGCAAGGAGGCUGCAACUCCUAUGACAACCAACUGCUACUUGGAUCUUGAUGAAGCUGGAAUGUGUGAUCAAAAAAUGUAUAGAGGUAUGAUUGGAUCCUUACUUUAUCUAACUAUUAGUAGACCUGACAUAAUGCACAAUGUGUGUCUUUGUGCUAGAUUUCAGUCCUCAUAUAAAGAAUCACAUUUAAUUGCUAAUAAAAGAAUUUUAAAAUACCUUAAAGGAACCAAAAGUCUAGGACUAUGGUAUCCUAAUGGUACAAACAUCUUUUUAGAAGGAUAUAGUGAUUCUGAUUUUGGAGGCUGUAAGCUAGACAAAAAAAGCAUUAGUGGCACAUGUCACCUACUUGGAUCUUCUUUAAUCUCUUGGCAUUCAAAGAAACAAGCUUGUGUGGCAUUAUCCAUCACAAAAUCCGAGUGCAUAGCAGUAGGAAGCUGUUGUGCACAAUCUCUUUGGAUUAAGAGUCAGUUAGAAGAUUAUGGUAUUAAACUAAACAAUAUUCCUCUGAACUGCGAUAGUACAAGUGCUAUUCACUUGACAAAAAAUCCUGUUUUACAUUCGAAAACUAAGUACAUUGAGAUAAGACAUCACUUCAUACGAGAUCACAUCCUCAAAGGUAAAAUUAAGAUCGAAUAUGUAGACACCUUACAUCAAUGGGCAAACAUUUUUAUAAAACCUCUAAAUAGGGAAAGAUUCUUUACUAUUCGAAAUGAAUUGGGCAUUCUAAAAGAUAGUAGUACAAAAUGAACAUUAAUCAACUUUGUGAUGAUUGAAGUUGAUUGUGCAUGUUUUCACUGUUACAUUAAACUGUUUUGCAUAUUCACUUCUUAUUUGAUUAAUUUUCUUGCAUUACUGUUAUACUAAAUUGCUUAGUCUUCAAAAGACUCUAAAAGGUUUUGCAGGAAACAUUGCUUGGAACUCAGUGCUUGAUCAUAUCUGUCUAAAAAGCAAUGAAAUCGAUUGUUGAUAAUGGUCCAAAAACUGUUAUUUUCAUACUUAAAUUUGACAUUAAACACACCUUUUAUGACUUAAAAUUAGCUUGAAAUCAUGCAAUUUGCUUAAGUUAGAGAAUAAGAGAGUCAAAGUGGGUUUUCUGGGUUUUAUGCUUGGUUUUCCCUUGAUGUGGCAGGAUUUAUCAGGAAUUGAAUGAAGGAAGUUAAGAAAAAGAAGAGUUAGACCCAGGAGAAGGUGGAAAAGUGAAGAAAAGAAGAGUCGUAGCCACCAUUGGGCUGUGCAACCACCGCUGGGCGGUGUACUCUCCAGAGAAGUCUCUGCUAGAUGCUCAAGCGCCACAGCUAAGGGAUGAAUUGGAGUUUCGACCUCAGCGCUGGGCGGUAAAGCCACUACUAGGCGAUGGAUGCUUCACGGAAUUCUCUGGCCAACGCUUAAGCGGUAAUGCUGAGGGGUGAUAUCAAGUGACGAACAUUACCGCCGGGCGGUGAAGCCACCGCUGGGUAGUGUACUAUUGGGACUGGUCCAGUUUCUGCUUCGAUUUAAGGAAUUAUAAAUAGGUUUGGAUAACCUAGAUGGUCUAUCUUUUGGCAAAAAGGACGUAGAAACACUUUCUUCACUCCUUGAAGGUGGAUUUUGGAAGUGAAGGCCCCAACUUAUCAAAUUGAGGGUUAUCUUUUCAUUCAUUCCAUUAUUUUCAGCUAGUUUCACCAUGAUUAUGGUGAACUAAAUUCCUUUGUUGUUGGGGAAAUGAUGUAAUCCUAUUAAAACUAUCAUAUAUUGAAAUUCUUGCUUUAUUCAUAUGUUUUCUUUUAUCGAUUGUUAGAGUUUUUCCUCCAUUAUAUUUGCAUGCUUUGUUUAAGACAUUAUUCAGUAGCAUAAUCUUUGAUUCUGUCUAUAUGGGCACGUGUGGGUAGGACUAGACAUGAUGGAAUUCUCUCAGGAGGAAUAUUACCUAGACAUAGGGAUAUGAGGAUCGAUUGCCUUAAGCUUCUGCGCGAAUUAUGUAAUGCAUGAUUAAUUGCUAGGGAGACUAGACAUAGUAAACUAGUAAUUAGGAGUAGGCUCUCUUCACCAAGAUAUUGGGAUUAGGGAAUUUAGAAAGUGGAAUUAACAUUGAUAAAGAAGUAGAAUUAAGUAGAAUUUGUAAAUAUAUGAGAGUGGAUUAGGAUGAAAUCAUAAACCCCAACAACACCGUUCUUCCAUAAAGUUCAACUAUCAAUUGAUCAAUCUUUGCAUGCAUAUUUAAUUUUCUGUCUUGCAUAAGAGUCUCCAGGGAAACAAUACUCGGACUUACCGUUUAUUAUUACUUGAUACGAUUCGGCGCACUUACCGAAGUGUUAACAAUUGUAUUAUUGGAUCAAUCGAAUUACAAAUACAGAGGGUUAUAAAUUCCAAUUUUUGGAAUUUGGUUAUCAAGUUUCUUGGUCUUUUUAUAUAAUUUUUCUUCAAUAUAUCUCUAUUCUUAUAUGACUAUUUUGCAAUGAGAUCAUAUUAUGAGAUUGUUGAUAGUUGUAUCAUUGUAGAUGCACCUUCACCAAAAGUUUGAAAAUUGGAAGUGAUAGAAUCCUGCCUCAUAUAGUCCUCUUUUAUCGUAUUUUUACAUUUCAUUGUAUUUGUAGCUUAACUUGCAAGAAGCUUGGGUCACUAUAAAUACCCAAGAGCUUCUCUUGUAUUCCUUACUUUUGAGAUGAAUGAGAAUUAAAAUUUCUAAAUCAAAAAAUAAUUCUCUCUUGAAAGUCAGGCUAGAGAGUCCAAGAAACCUUCUCUAGCCACAUUCUAGCACACAGCCUCAUUUUUCCAUUCUCCAUUACACCAUUGUGCUUCUCUCUCCUCCGUCCACGCUGCCUCACCUAUUCACUGCCACGUUCUUACACGCAUCGACGCGUCAUUGCAUCAGCAUUCCACGCAUCUUUUCAUUUGGCUUCCCUUCCACGCUGACACGCACAUCUCUCACUUUCAUUCUCGCACCACAAACCACAUUUCUCACACUUUUCGUUUCGAAGAAACCUAUGCUAGGUUUCCUUCCUCUCAAGCACGUCUUCAUCAUUUCCAACCAUAGAUCGACCAUAUCUCCUCCGUUUCCACCGGUAAGCCUACUUUCCUUCACAAAUCCUUACUCUUCCACCACUUCCUUGGAUUUACACUGAACAAAAUCUGUUUCUCGCCGUUUAAAUCCAUUUCUACUGAUUGUGUUUCCGUUUUCUACCUUUUAAACCACUUUCCACCAAUUAAAACUUCUUCUCCUUCGUUUAAUCGGUUUAGAUUAGGGUUUUUACUCUAUUUAGGGUUUCUAACGAGUUCAUCUUCUGUGUCGAGCUUUUCUCUCGGUCUAGAGCUUUCUUCAUCAAUCCACUGCAUCUUCUCGUCGGAGAAGCUUCGAGGAGGUCCAAAUUCAUCGUCGCACUGCUUCAACCGGCCUCUCCUUGGAGCCUUUGUCCAUCAGGAAGCCAUUCGCAGGUAUAUAGUCGAUUCAAGGAAAAAUGAAGUCGACUAGUUUUUCAAAUAUUUUAUGAAAAUCAGCUCUGGUGCUAAUUUUUGGAAAAAGGUUGGCUUCGUUUCAACACCAAGAGGGGAGGGGGUGAAUUGGUGAGGUUUCAAAAUCAUAGUCUUUUUGAAAUCUUUUUCGCAAAGUAAAAACCUUUCGCAAAGUUUCUUGAGGAAACCUUCUGUUAACUUUCUGCUUUGGCUUCAGGUCUGGACAAUCUGGUUUGAUAUGUCCUUCUUUUCCACAUUCGUAGCAUUGUACAACACUUGACCUGUGAGCUUUCCUGGCUUUGUUGUGACCUGAAUGGUUAGUAAGUUGACUGUUAUUUUUCAUAAGUCGACUAAAUUUUCUUACCACCAUGGUCAUCAAUUCAUUGUUGUCCAUCUCUGCAUCUAAUUCUUCCUUUGACUUUGAGGCUUUCUUGCUUGUUGCUUUCAGUGCAAUGGACUUUUUCUCUUCAAUCUCUUCUUCGUCCUUCAACCUUCCAAGUUCUAACUCAUGUUCUCUUAACUUGUCGAACAAGGUAGCCAUAUUCAUGCUUGUAAGAUCUUUGGACUCAGAGAUUGUUGUGACUUUGGGUUGCCAACUUCUGUUAAGACUUUUCAAAAUCUUGAUAUUGAUCUCUUCCUUUUCAAAGACUUUGCUAAGAGCCAUAAGGUGAUUUUACUAUAUGAGUGAAUCUUUUCUAGACUUCAUAGAUUGUUUCACUAGCCGUCAUCCUGAAAAGCUCAUAUUCUUGAAUCAAAGAAUUUUUCCUUACUCUCUUGACUUCAUCAGUGCCUUCAUGAGUGACUUCCAAGACAUCCCACAUCUCCUUGGUAGAUUUGCAUUGAGAUAUCCUGAAAAAUUCAUCAAUAGUUAGUGUAGAGGCAAUGAUAUUUCUAGCUUUGACAUCAUAUUGUGCUUUCAUGUUCUCUUCUUGAGACCACUCAGAAAAAUUUUUCAAAACAGCUUUUCCAUCAAUAGUAUGAGUAGGAUCAAAAGGACCAUUCAAAGUUGCAUCCUAAAUUCCUCUAUCCACGGAUUCAAGAAAAAUUUGCAUUCUAAUUUUCCAAAAAGGAUAAUUCUCACCAGCAAACAGAGGUGGUCUGUUUGUAGAUGCACCUUCACCAAAAGUUUGAAAACUGGAAGUCAUUCCCAGGUAUAUAGUUGAUUCAAGAAAAAAAUGAAGUCGACUAGUUUUUCAAAUAUUUUAUGAAAACCAGCUCUGGUGCCAAUUGUUGGAAAAAGGUUAGCUUCGUUUCAACACCAAGUGGGGGGGUGAAUUGGUGAGGUUUCAAAAUCAGAGUCUUUUUUAAAUCUUUUUCACAAAGUAAAAACCUUUACAAAGUUUCUUGAAUCAAAAGGAAUGAAAAUUCUAAGUGUAAUGAAAAUACAAAGUUGACUACGUAAACAGGUAAGUCGAUUGAAUGUAUAAGUGUAAGGAUAGAGAAAUCAAACGCAAAUUUUUAUACUGGUUUGGCCUUAAUGCCUACAUCCAAUGUCCUUCCACAAUCUAGAAGAAAAUGCACUAUAAUGGUCAAGGUUUUUACAACAAGGCUUUUAUAGAGACCUCCACGUCAAAAAUAUAAAACACCUCUUUAACUCUCUAACCAAAAUAUAGGCAAUACUCACAAAGAGUAUGAGAUGUUCCGAAUGAAGCAGGGAGAAACAAUUAUAGAUGUCUAGAAACGCUUCACUCACAAAGUGAAUAAUCUCAUUGGGUUAGGUAAGUUCUUCGAUAAUGAUGAAUUAAAUAUAAAAAUUCUUAAAUCUUUGGACAAGACUUAGCAACCAAGGUGACUACAAUCAGUGAGUCACAAAAUCUAAAUACCAUGUCAAUGACUACAUUGUUUGGAAAUUGAGAGAACAUGAUCUAGAUCUCGGAAGAUUGAACGAGGAGGAAGAGAAAGGGAAGAAAAAGAUUGUAGUGUUCAAAUAUGAGAUUAAUAAAAGCAAAGAUCUUAGUGAAGAAGAAGACUCUAACGAAGAUGAAGAAGAUCUGGGUCUCUUUGUUAAGAAGUUUAACAAGUUCAUGAAGUCCAAAGGGAAAAGAAGAUUUAAAGGUAAAAAGAAGGAAAAUAAGGAAUCUUCACCAAAUUAUCGUUGUUAUGAUUGUGGGGAAAAAUGGCAUAAGAAGACAGAUUGUCUAAACACAAAGAGGGUGAAGAAAGAGGUCAAAAGUAAUUCUUCAAGAAAAAAAAGGCGUAUAUAACUUGGGAGGAAGACAAUGAUUCUACAACAAGCUCAAGCGACUCUGAUGAGUAAACCAACAUAUGUUUGAUGUCUGAUGAUGACAUCUCUGGAAGUCAAGUAAGUAACUCUAGCGAUUCUGAAAACUCAUUGUAGUUAAAGUGAAUUACUUGACACGUAUAAAGAAUUAUUAUUUGAAUAAGAGAAAUUAGAUAUUGCUCAUAAAAAAAUUAAAGAAGGAUUUUAAGGAAUUAAAACCAAAUUAUGAAAAACUUCUUGAAGAAAAUAGUGAUUUGAAAAACAAGAUUUUAUAUUAUGAAAAAGGCAAAUAUACUAAGAUUGAAGAAUGUAUUUCUUGUUUGAACAAAAAUAAGCCUCUUGAUAAAGCAACAACACUAAAAGUAGUAAAAAUUCAAAAAUUAAAAAGGUUGUUAAACAUGCUCCUAAAAAUAAUUAUAAUAAUUAUAAUCAUAGUAAUAAAAUUAAAAAUAUUCCAAAAUAUAAUUAUAAUUAUCAUAACUAUAAUUACAAAAAUAAAAUCAAGUAUCUUUCUAAUUAUAAUCAGAAUCAUUAUUAUGAUCAUAAUUAUAAAAUUAAAAAAAAAAAAAUAAAAGAACCCGAAAAAUUUGGGUAGAGCAAGGAACUAAUUAUAGAAAACCUAAUGUUGGUACUUGUUUCUAUUGCAUGAAUAAGGGUCAUACAUCAAAUAAAUGCAAUAUAAAAAGGGGGAGAUUGUUUGCAUAAAGCUAAAGAACAAAAUUUUUGAUGAUAUCUCAAAGUCAAGUCUCAAGUGCUCUUAUUGGAGGAAGAUCUUCAUUAAGACUUGUUUUUAUAUUAAAGUUUUUUCAAUUUAGUAGAUUGAUGUAUAUGAUGUGGUUUAUCUUUGAUUCUAUGUAUUAUUUGCCUUAGGUUGCGUUAAUUAUUUUUUUUUGAAUCAGAAGACCUCCUUUUAUACUCGAGAUAAUCAAUUAUCAACUUAUAACUAAUCGAUUAUCAAGAAUAAAUUAUGACUUGCCAUAAUUGAUUAUCAUAAGCAAUUAUGAGAAUUUUUAAGCAAUUUUUUGACCGUUGUGCAUUAAUUAAAGAUAUAAUCAAUUACCAUAAGUGAAAAAUUGAUUAUCACAAGUUAAUUAGCAAUCAACAGAUUUUUAGAGGUAUCCUUGAGUGAGAUCUCUAUAAAUUAAAUUGGGACUCUUAUUCUAAAAUACGAAACAUAUAAGUAAAGUGUAUUUUCAAAAUUCUUAUCUGCAGUGUAUGGUGAUAAGUGUUCUAGGGUUUGCUGAACCCUUGUAUUGUGGCUUUGAGAACUUGACGUGUUGGCAUAAAGUGAGAACUUCCACACGGGGUAUGAUUGAGUGUUGUUGUUGUUGGCAUAGAGCGAGAACUUUCAAAGGGAGUGUGAUUGAGUGUUGUUGUUGUUACCGAGUUGAAAGCCUUUCAUCCUUCAUGAAGUAUUCGAAGGAAGUGUAUAUCAUUUGUGAAGAUUCAAAGGAGGUAUUCAUCCCUUGUGGGUUAUAAGGGAAGUGAGUUUCAUCUCUUAGGGGUAACAAGAGAUGUGUUUUAACCUUAAACUGUUUUAUUUUCUUUGUGAUUGUAACAAUUUGUUGGUUUGUGCUAGUGGAACAUUAAUUAUGAGUUGAGAUUAACAACUAGACGUAGGAUCUUUGUGAUUCGAACCAGUAUAAAAAUUACCUGAGCAAUUUUCUCUCUCCCUUACAUUUUUAUUUGUUUAAUUUCGUAUUAAGGAAUUUAAGAGAAAAUUUAUUAAAAGAACGAUUUGCGGUAAGAAACCAAUUCACCCCUUUUUGGUUUGUUGUACACGCGUUAACCAUUCUAUUGCAACACUCUGACAAAAUUUGAAUUAAAGACAGGAUUCAAUACAUAAAAGGAGAAUGAAAGAAAGAACCUAAAACCCCCACAAGGGGGAGGGGGUGGAAAACGUCCAAGAGCUCUAAACCUAAGAAGAAGAAAAUGAAAAUGAGAAGGAAGAGAGAGCUUAAAAUCUGAUUUUGGGAUUCAUAGACCCCAAAUUACAAUUUUGCCCUUCAUAUGGGCUUCUACAAAAAUUUGCCCAAAAAUGGGCCUAAAGCCAUAAAGAAAACGAAAUAAACCCAAUUGGUGACGUGGAAAAUGGAAAAUGACGUGGCAAUACUCUUGUCGCAAAAUAUGAUUCCAAAAUUGUCCUGGAAAUAAUAAUUGGAAUAAUUAGGCUCAAAUAAUUCAAAUUAAUUAAAAUAAUUAUUAUUAGUCCAAUUAAGCCCAAACAGUCAAAAUGAGACAAUAAUGGAGAUUAAACACAUUUCGCUAAUAUAAUUUGUUGCGAAAAACUAAGUGAAUAUUACAAAAUAGUGAUUCAUAAGAGUGGUUUGAAUUCGCAGAUUUGUGACUCAGUUUUUUUUUUUUUUUUUUUGUGGCGACACGAAGAUGGUUGAUGAAGGAAGAUGAGGUUAUGCUAAUAGUGAGUUUUAAAGUUUGCAAUCGGGGUUUUCACGAUGGUGAAGAUCAUGAUUGGGUUUUUGCGUUUUGCAAUAUAGGUCUCUGGUUCUGUUACUGCUUGUAGGUUGCAUUAAUGAUUGUGUGAAGGCUCGUGGUGGAGGAUGAGGAUUGAACAACAAUUUUACAAAAACAACUUUAACUUAUCAUUGCCACACCAUUUUCACUUAACUUGCCACUAUCGCAACUGAAAUCGCGAUAGAACGACGAUAAAAAAAAACGAUGGGUUUGAAAAAAAGAGAUUUGUAGUCACCACUAUAGUUUAUUUUGGAAAACUAUAAAAAAAAACCAUAAAAUGAUAAGGCGUGGUUUAUGAAAACCAGAUUCUGGGUUCGGGAGUCAGUUAUGCGUAGAGAAUGUAUUAACACCCUACAAUACCUGCCCAAAGGCAGUACCCUUAACUAAUUAUGCGAAGACAAAGUCGUUUUCAAAAUGUUUAACUAUCCCAAAAAGACACUAUAAAGAAACAAAAUAUUUUUUUUAGUCUUUUGAGCCCGACAAGGAUUGACCUUGCUCCUACGUAUUCUCAUUCAAAAUGAGAAAUCACGGUUAUGUAGUUCUUUUUAAAGAUUGAUUGCUAGUUAGAAAAUGUAGAUAUUCUUGGUUUUUGAAGAUUUUGCAUUUUUUGGUAUUUUAAGAAAAAGGAAGCUAAUAAGUAUUAGACCGACGUGGACGAUCACACGAGUACUCAUACCUUUGGAAUGAUAUUCAAAUAUUUUUAAUUGUUUUUAAAGAUAAAGAAAAGCAUUAGGCACUAGGACGAUGCAGACGAUCACAUAAGUGCUUAUACUUUUAAAUUGCCAUCUAAUUAUGUUAUUUUAAAGAGAAAGAAAAUUAUUAAGCACUAGGACAAUGCAAGCGGUCACACGAGUGUUUAACCUUUUACAAUAUUAUUUUUGUUAUAUUUUAAUUAUUUUUAAAAGAGAGAGAAAAAGGUAUUAAGCACUAGGACGAUGCGAGCGAUCAUAUGAGUGCUUAACCUUUUAAAAUAUUAUUUUGUUAGUUUUUAAUUAUUUUUAAAACAGAAAGAAAAAGGUAUUAAGCACUAAGAAGACACGAGCAGUCACACGAAUGCUUAACCUUUUAAAAUGCUAUUUUGUUAUUUUUUAAUUAUUUUUAAAAGAGAAAAAAAAAUAUUAAGCAUUAGGACGACGCGAAUGUUUAACCUUUUAAAAAUUUUAUUUUGUUAUUUUUUAAUUAUUUUUAACAAAGAAAGAUAAAUGUAUUAAACAUUAGGAUGACGUGAACAGUCACACGAGUGCUUAACUUUUUAAAAUAUUAUUUUAUUAUUUUUUAAUUAUAUUUAAAAGAGAAAGAAAAAAAAUAUUAAACAUUAGGGUGACACAAACAAUCACACGAGUAUAUACCUUUUAAAAUAUUAUUUUGUUAUUUUUUAAUUUAUAAAUCUUAUUUAUUUUCCAUGUAUUAUUAUUAUAUAUAUUUUUAAAUAGGUAGAUAUUGAAAAAUGAAAAAAAUGUCCAAGAAUAAAAAAAAAAUCAGGCUCAAAGGAAGAAUUUGAGCCCAAAACACAAGAAAAAAACAAAAAGAUAUGGGAGUGCCAAGAUGAGAAAUGGGGUGUGCGGAUCAGAAGAGAUACUUUUUUUUGAAAAAAACUAGCUCAGAAAUGCUGGCCAAGGCCUUUCUUCCCAGCAGAAACAAUAGGGAUUCUGCACCUUUCUCUCAUUUGUGCUCAAACCCAAGAGACUCAGGGUCUCUUUCUCCGGACGAAAUAGCCUAGGAAAGGGCUUGCCUCCCCUGCGCACAUGCGCCACCGCCCCAUCAGACUAGCCACCGCGACGGACUCUCUACUCAGUCCACAGCGUCGUCGGGGACACCAAGCUAAAGCUACUGCCGGCCGCGGCGUUAGAUUCGUCUCUUUUCUCUUCUUUGCUCGCAAACAGAGAGACCCUUUUCCUCUCCUCCGCCACCAACGAAACUGGCCGCCGCCGCCUCUGCCAAACUGGCCGCCGUUCACUACCUGAUGCAGCGCCAGCCGUGGCGUCGGAUUCUUCCUCAGCCUGAUUUUCCCCGCCGCGACUCUCGAACAUUAGAGAUUUAGGAAUUUGCUAUUGAAUUUUGCUCCUUUUCUGUAGUUGUCACGCCGCUAUCCUAGAGGUGGUGGUGGAGUGACUGUUGAAGACAUUUGAUUGGGAUUCCGCUUCGGGCUUGGGGGUUCAAUUGUUGGGGUUAGUUCGUUUGGAUUUUGGGAUGUUGAUUUGGCUUCUUCUGUUGUUUUUUUUUUUUUUUUCUAAAUGCAGGGGAUCAAAUGACUUUGAUGACGAAGAGGAAUCAAAGAGUGGAUUACGCAGGUUUCAUGUUGAAGAUGAAGUGUGCUUAUGCGUUGGAUGAUGACGGAGAAAGGGGAAUAUUCACACCACAAUGUCAUACAUAAGCAGAGCAACAACAAGCAUAAAACGAAGUAUACAAUGCAGCAAGCCUACUCUAUUAGAGCAUGACGACACUAGUGAGCAAGGUAAUGCUGAUCUCUUGAAGCUUUGUUUGCUAUUGUCAGUUUCGUGUAUCUGAUGUCUUCUUCCCCUCUUUUGGCUGGCUUUAUUUUUUUCUUUGCAGGUGAAUGAUGGAUGUUUUAACAAGGGAUGGAUGAUGAUCCAAGAUUGGGUGAGAAGCGUCUAGAUUUUUUCUUAGGCCGUGGUAGUAGUUUCUCCCCCAAAAAAUAUCCUCUCCGUUUUUUUGAUUUUUAUGAUGCCCCCUCAACUAAAAUUCUCUAACCGUUUUCUUCGCGCCCACAAUCCCCAAAUGCGCCCCCCUUGUCAACAAACUUCUCUCCUUUUCUUUCACGUUUUCUCCCUUCUCUAUUUUGUUACGAUUUCUUUUUUAUCAUUUAUUUUUUAAUUAUAUUAAAACAAAAGUAAAAAUGAAAAUUAAAAGGUAAAAAUAAAAUUACAGAGGAAGUUCAAAAUUAAAAGUAAAACAUAAAAAAUAAAAAUCAAAAUAAGUAAAUAAAAAUAAUAAAAUACAAUAAAACCAAAAAAACAAGAACAAACUUUUUC
rnacentral:lncRNA from 1 species